UCUUUGUUAGUGCAUAGGUUAGUACACGCGCCUGUCACGCGCGAUAGCUGGGUUCGACUCCCAGACAGAGAG
rnacentral:tRNA from 1 species